rnacentral:rRNA from 1 species
GACGAACGCUGGCGGCGUGCCUAAUACAUGCAAGUUGAGCGCUGAAGGUUGGUACUUGUACCAACUAGAUGAGCAGCGAACGGGUGAGUAACGCGUGGGGAAUCUGCCUUUGAGCGGGGGAUAACAUUUGGAAACGAAUGCUAAUACCGCAUAAAAACUUUAAACACAAGUUUUAAGUUUGAAAGAUGCAAUUGCAUCACUCAAAGAUGAUCCCGCGUUGUAUUAGCUAGUUGGUGAGGUAAAGGCUCACCAAGGCGAUGAUACAUAGCCGACCUGAGAGGGUGAUCGGCCACACUGGAACUGAGACAAGGUCAAGACACCUAAGGGAGGAAGAAGGAGGGAAUGUUCGGCAAUGGGAGAAAGCCUGACGGAGCAACGCCGCGUGAGGGAUGAAGGUGUUCGGAACGUAAAACUCUGUUAUUAGGGAAGAACAAAAGUGUAAGUAACUAUGCACGUCUUGACGGGACCUAAUCAGAAAGCCACGGCUAACUACGUG